AGUGAACGCUGGCGGUAGGCCUAACACAUGCAAGUCGAACGGCAGCACAGGAGAGCUUGCUCUCUGGGUGGCGAGUGGCGGACGGGUGAGGAAUACAUCGGAAUCUACUUUUUCGUGGGGGAUAACGUAGGGAAACUUACGCUAAUACCGCAUACGACCUACGGGUGAAAGCAGGGGAUCUUCGGACCUUGCGCGAUUGAAUGAGCCGAUGUCGGAUUAGCUAGUUGGCGGGGUAAAGGCCCACCAAGGCGACGAUCCGUAGCUGGUCUGAGAGGAUGAUCAGCCACACUGGAAGUGAGACACGGUCCAGACUCCUACGGGAGGCAGCAGUGGGGAAUAUUGGACAAGGGGCGCAAGCCUGAUCCAGCCAUACCGCGUGGGUGAAGAAGGCCUUCGGGUUGUAAAGCCCUUUUGUUGGGAAAGAAAUCCAGCUGGUUAAUACCCGGUUGGGAUGACGGUACCCAAAGAAUAAGCACCGGCUAACUUCGUGCCAGCCGCCGCGGUAA
rnacentral:rRNA from 1 species